AUUGAACGCUGGCGGCAGGCCUAACACAUGCAAGUCGAGCGGAUGAAAGGAGCUUGCUCCUGGAUUCAGCGGCGGACGGGUGAGUAAUGCCUAGGAAUCUGCCUGGUAGUGGGGGACAACGUUUCGAAAGGAACGCUAAUACCGCAUACGUCCUACGGGAGAAAGCAGGGGACCUUCGGGCCUUGCGCUAUCAGAUGAGCCUAGGUCGGAUUAGCUAGUUGGUGAGGUAAUGGCUCACCAAGGCGACGAUCCGUAACUGGUCUGAUAGGCUGAUCAGUCACACUGGAACUGAGACGCGGUCCGGACUCCUACGGGAGGCAGCAGUGGGGAAUAGUGGAAAAUGGGCGAAAGACUGAUCGAGCCAUGCCGCGUGUGGGAAGAAGGUCUUCGGAUUGUAAAGCACUUUAAGUUGGGAGGAAGGGUUGUAGAUUAAUACUCUGCAAUUUUGACGUUACCGACAGAAUAAGCACCGGCUAACUCUGUGCCAGCCGCCGCCGUAAUAC
rnacentral:rRNA from 1 species